rnacentral:rRNA from 1 species
AAUAUUGCACAAUGGGGGAAACCCUGAUGCAGCGACGCCGCGUGAGCGAAGAAGGCCNNNGGGUCNUNACGCUCUGUCCUAAGNGANNAAACGGACGGUACCUUAGGAGGAAGCCCCGGCUACCUAAGUUCCAUCAGCCGCGGUAAUACGUAGGGGGCGAGCGUUAUCCGGAAUUAUUGGUCGUAAAGGGUGCGUAGGCGGCUUUUUAAGUCAGAUGUGAAAGGCUACGGCUUAACCGUAGUUAGCAUUUGAAACUAAAAGGCUUGAGUGCAGGAGAGGAGAGUGGAAUUCCUAGUGUAGCGGUGAAAUGCGUAGAUAUUAGGAGGAACACCAGUGGCGAAGGCGACUCUCUGGACUGCAACUGACGCUGAGGCACGAAAGCGUGGGGAGCGAAC